AUUGAACGCUGGCGGCAGGCCUAACACAUGCAAGUCGAGCGGUUGAGGGGAGCUUGCUCCCUGAUUCAGCGGCGGACGGGUGAGUAAUGCCUAGGAAUCUGCCUAUUAGUGGGGGACAACGUUUCGAAAGGAACGCUAAUACCGCAUACGUCCUACGGGAGAAAGCAGGGGACCUUCGGGCCUUGCGCUAAUAGAUGAGCCUAGGUCGGAUUAGCUAGUUGGUGAGGUAAUGGCUCACCAAGGCGACGAUCCGUAACUGGUCUGAGAGGAUGAUCAGUCACACUGGAACUGAGACACGGUCCAGACUCCUACGGGAGGCAGCAGUGGGGAAUAUUGGACAAUGGGCGAAAGCCUGAUCCAGCCAUGCCGCGUGUGUGAAGAAGGUCUUCGGAUUGUAAAGCACUUUAAGUUGGGAGGAAGGGUUGUAGAUUAAUACUCUGCAAUUCUGACGUUACCGACAGAAUAAGCACCGGCUAACUCUGUGCCAGCAGCCGCCGCGGUAA
rnacentral:rRNA from 1 species